rnacentral:rRNA from 1 species
UCCGUAGGUGAACCUGCGGAAGGAUCAUUAACGAGUUAUUGAACAGGUUGUAGCUGGCCUUCAGGGGCAUGUGCACGCCUGGCUCAUCCACUCUUCAACCUCUGUGCACUUAUUGUAGGUCGGUGGAAGAGUAAGUCUAAGUGAUUAGACUUGCUUGGAAGCCUUCCUAUGUUUUUACAAACGCUUCAGUUUAAGAAUGUAUCUCUGCGUAUAACGCAUUUAUAUACAACUUUCAGCAACGGAUCUCUUGGCUCUCGCAUCGAUGAAGAACGCAGCGAAAUGCGAUAAGUAAUGUGAAUUGCAGAAUUCAGUGAAUCAUCGAAUCUUUGAACGCACCUUGCGCUCCCUGGUAUUCCGGGGAGCAUGCCUGUUUGAGUGUCAUGGUAUUCUCAACCUUCAUAACUUUUGUUAUCGAAGGCUUGGAUUUGGAGGUUGUGCUGGCUUCUCGUCAAGUCGGCUCCUCUUAAAAGCAUUAGCGUGAGUGUAACGGAUCGCUUCGGUGUGAUAAUUAUCUGCGCCGUGGUCGUGAAGUAACAUAAGCUUGCGCUUCUAACCGUCCUUCAGCUGGACAAAUUUACUCUGACAUCCUGACCUCAAAUCAGGUAGGACUACCCGCUGAACUUAAGCAUAUC